rnacentral:piRNA from 1 species
UAAAAAAUUGGGUGGGAUUAAUAUUA